rnacentral:rRNA from 1 species
UACGAAGGGGGCUAGCGUUGCUCGGAAUUACUGGGCGUAAAGGGAGCGUAGGCGGAUAGUUUAGUCAGAGGUGAAAGCCCCAGGGCUCAACCUUGGAAUUGCCUUUGAUACUGGCUAUCUUGAGUACGGAAGAGGUAUGUGGAACUCCGAGUGUAGAGGUGAAAUUCGUAGAUAUUCGGAAGAACACCAGUGGCGAAGGCGACAUACUGGUCCGUUACUGACGCUGAGGCUCGAAAGCGUGGGGAGCAAACAGGG